GAUACGCGAGGAACCUUACCAGGGCUUAAAUGUAGUCUGACAGCUUUAGAGAUAGAGUUUUCUUCGGACAGAUUACAAGGUGCUGCAUGGUUGUCGUCAGCUCGUGCCGUGAGGUGUCAGGUUAAGUCCUAUAACGAGCGCAACCCUUGUCGUUAGUUGCCAGCAUGUAAAGAUGGGGACUCUAACGAGACUGCCGGUGCAAACCGAGAGGAAGGUGGGGAUGACGUCAAAUCAUCA
rnacentral:rRNA from 18 species